GGAGCUAACGCGUUAAGUCGACCGCCUGGGGAGUACGGCCGCAAGGUUAAAACUCAAAUGAAUUGACGGGGGCCCGCACAAGCGGUGGAGCAUGUGGUUUAAUUCGAUGCAACGCGAAGAACCUUACCUACUCUUGACAUCCAGCGAACUUUCCAGAGAUGGAUUGGUGCCUUCGGGAACGCUGAGACAGGUGCUGCAUGGCUGUCGUCAGCUCGUGUUGUGAAAUGUUGGGUUAAGUCCCGCAACGAGCGCAACCCUUAUCCUUUGUUGCCAGCGAUUCGGUCGGGAACUCAAAGGAGACUGCCGGUGAUAAACCGGAGGAAGGUGGGGAUGACGUCAAGUCAUCAUGGCCCUUACGAGUAGGGCUACACACGUGCUACAAUGGCGCAUACAAAGAGAAGCGACCUCGCGAGAGCAAGCGGACCUCAUAAAGUGCGUCGUAGUCCGGAUCGGAGUCUGCAACUCGACUCCGUGAAGUCGGAAUCGCUAGUAAUCGUGGAUCAGAAUGCCACGGUGAAUACGUUCCCGGGCCUUGUACACACCGCCCGUCACACCAUGGGAGUGGGUUGCAAAAGAAGUAGGUAGCUUAACCUCUCGGGAGGGCGCUU
rnacentral:rRNA from 1 species